ensembl:lncRNA
UUAUAGGUUGAUAAUUCCUUUCUUUAAGUAUUCUUCUUUAACUGUUGCUCCUGCUGUUGGAUAUCCGUCGAUGAGCCACAGAUGUUUUCAGAAUAAAAAAGUUCUUGGCAGGACUACGAGUUGUUAACAGAGCCAAACUACUUAAAUUCCACAUAAUAAUAAACAGUUUUACAAAAGUAUUAAUUACGUAUGAAUGUUAGUUCAUGUUUAUUGGUACAAUAGUCUCCAGUUACACAUAUUUUCACACUAAAUGUAUCCAUGUCGUCAUAAAUCUUCCAAAUUCAAAUGCUGCUGAAUAUCCUUUAGUCUGUUUCUCCUUCCGUACAUCUGAACAGCUGGAGAGAAGCAGGCGAGGAGCGAAUGGAGUCCUGUUCCUCAUGUGCUUCAUAGUGGAGUGAAGGAUACAUAUUCCAGAUGGAAAGCUCUGCACACAAGGCACAGUGCGAGCUGCAAGGCAGAGAACCACGUAAGUAAAGUCGGGAGGAAGAGCGCACAUCUGCAAAAGCUAUUUCUCUGUACGGCACGGAGAGGAAGACGGGAAUAAAGAUAAACGUCCUGUGACAUUCUGACUGUGUUUUAAACCGAUCCACAUGGGCUUUAGCGUCUUAAUACAGUUUGAUAUACAGCAGUACAGCGUCGACUGAUGCACGUUGGCCUCUUUCAAAUGCUUUAGUGCUUCUGAUCAAAACAAUCGAUGCCAUAUGUAAUGUAUCCAGACUAAAGGAGCUUUUCUGUUAAUAAAACACCAUGAAUGCAAGUUCAUAAUUGGGAUUAAGGGAACUCGUGUUGGGCCCAGUGUGUUAAAUAUCCAGAGGGAGCAGCUCCUCCUCUAUGAACACCAAGGAAGUCCAUCGACGGAGGAGGGCGGGGUCGAAGGUCGGGGGUGAAAGUAGCUUCCUGCGUGAAACCAAGCGAGCGUCGUCUUGUUUUGACCCUCAUUUUGUUGCACACAAGUGAGGCUGCGUGUGUCAGUAACACGGCGAACCGACCGUUGCUCUCACUGAAACGUGGAAGCGCCGACGAGGAGGCGCAGAGAAGCGUGCCGAGACAUGUGGCUGUUCCCUUACGUCACGCUGACCCGCCGUGGCCAACACGCGUGUAGAGUUUGACCCGCGAGUCUCCAAAGUUUUCCGGAGCUCCAAACCUCCCGGGAGGAAUCGUUGUGGUUCGCUCUCCUCCUCCUACCUUCUACCCGCCGCUGCUCCACCACGCUUUACGGUUCCUUUUCAUCUGAAGCUCUGAUGAAUCGAAUUAGAGCUUUCUGCCGUACCGGGGAGGCCGGCGGCGCGGUUUGAGCUUUUCGUUGGUAAUGAAAUGUGAAGUGGGUGGACUCAGGUUUUGCCGUGCAUGUGUGAGAGUUAAUGUAAACCAGCUAUACUGUAGAGGGGAAAUGUGAUUUUUGGCAGCCUGAGAUGUAGUUUGCAGACUCCCUCUUCUUCUCUCUCACACGCCAGCCGGCGUCAGACGGGUACGAGUGUUUUUGAAGGCCAAUGCUGAUGUGUUUUGUUCGAUAUUUAGUCAGUGCAGCUACUCUGAUGUAGUUGGAAGGUUAAUACUUCCACGCUACAAAUUAUUGUAGACUUAGUUUAACAAGUUUAUCCAGAAAUAAAUAUCAAAUAUGGCCAAAAUAUACAAACCAAGGUCAGAGAUGAUCUUGAUCUGUGUCUCUUUUUCAGCUAGUUUUUAUUCCUUUUAUUCCCGUUAUCGCUCAACGUAAUUACACCUCUGCGAGCGCUUCUGUCAUCAAUCUUCAUGAAGAAGGAGACGGAACUCCACCAAGCAUGUUCAUUUUCUUUUUUAUUUCCGUUAGUCUUGACUCCAUUCAUAUAAAAACCACAACGUGGAGCAGCGCCGUUAUUGGAAUGCCGCUCUGUAUCGACACACACACAGACACACACACAGACCCUGAAUGCCAGCAGCUGGCUCAUCGCGCGGACCACACGCACUCGCUCGCACACCGCAAACUGAGUCACAAUCAAGACGCCUGAUCCCUUAUCGCACGUUCAGCCUCCGCGCUGCCAUACGGGGAGCGCCGUCGGCGGCUGCGUGUGGGAUCAACAGGAACACCGGCGGCACCGGCAGUGAGCUCAGGAGACACACCAUUAACCUUGAGAGAGAGAGAGAGAGAGAGAGAGACUGGGAGAGACUGGGAGAGAGACUGGGAGAGAGACGGCGCCCGAUGGUUUCAGUCCAGUGGAGGGGAGAGUUGUCACACAAUCUCCUCUAACACACUUUUCUCAUGGGGCUUUUCUUCCCCUCCUUCGGUUUCACGGCGUGAGGCCUCCCCAACACAAUGUGCACCGACGACCGGGUCGUUCCCACUGUGGGAAACACAAACCAGCCCGUACACAACCCGUCCAUUUUCCCUCCUCCUGUAUUUGUUCAUGUCGUCUCCCACUGUCUGCUUCCUCUCGCCUUCCUUUCUCUGGGAUCCUGGGGAAAGUCCCGGUCUCUCUCUCCCUCUCCCUCCCGGUCUCCCUCCCUCUCUCUCUCUCCCUCCCUCUCUCCCUCUCUCGCUCCCUGCUUGCAUUCCUGUACUGAGCCGAAGGAAAAGGGGCCCUUUGCGUUGCGGGAAUUCUCUCUUAGUUUCUGUGCGAACGUAAGAAAGCGUUUUGUCCAUUUCUAACUGCGGCGUUGAACGUGGUGCCUGAGAGCCGCGUCACAGAAUCUAACAAUAGACGGUUAAGGGCAGGAAGCUGCAGAUACGUUGGGGUUUCGCAUUGUGUGUGUGUGUGUGUGUGUGUGUUGUGCUCAAUUGCUUCUGCAGCUGCGAGCCCCUCGCAGGCCCAGUGUAAUCAGUACACUUCAGCUGCACGGUUCUCCCGCUCGGAUCUAAAGCCAUUCGCCGUCCUACUCUCCUUGCUGACUUUUGAGUUAAAGCAACACGCAACAUGUGGCGCACAACAUGUUUGUUACACAUACAUUACACAGCUAAGUGAGUGUAACACGACUACAAUGAGCUUUAAGCGUUCGUGUAGACGCAGCAGAGGUCAAAGCAUCUUGUAGGAAUCAGGUUUUAGCAUUAAGAGUCAGUGGAAUGAGUGUGAAUCAGUGUCCAGGUCC